UACGGGGGGGGUAAGCGUUGUUCGGAAUUACUGGGCGUAAAGGGCUCGUAGGCGGCCAACUAAGUCAGACGUGAAAUCCCUCAGCUUAACUGGGGAACUGCGUCUGAUACUGGAUGGCUUGGAUUUGGGAGAGGGAUGCGGAAUUCCAGGUGUAGCGGUGAAAUGCGUAGAUAUCGGGAGGAACACCAAUGGCGAAGGCAGCUCGCUGGGACGUUACUGACGCUGAGACGCGAAAGCGUGGGGAGCAAACAGG
rnacentral:rRNA from 1 species